ensembl:lncRNA
AUUUGGCAGCUUCUCUUGGAGAGAAGCUGUAUCGUGGUCGAUACCCAGUGUGCGAAAUACGUGGGGGUCCGGGGGGCAGGGUAUCUGCAGGUUUCAGCAAGUCAAAUUUAAGACUUUUUAAGACCUUUUUAAUACCACCUUGAAUGAAAUUUAAGACCUUAAUCCCGCGAUGGUGGGGUGGAUCCCGCUGUAUUACAACCCAAGCAUGUGCGUCACUCAAUGAGACUCAUUCAAGUUGACUUUCUGUCUGUUUAUUGAACAUAAAGUGAUACUCCAGGGCUCCAGACUAACUUUUUCCUUGGGUGCACUGGUGCACCUAAAUUUUUAAUUUGGGUGCACCAGCACGUAUUCAUGGUGCUCCCAAGUUGUAAGUUGUUGAGAGGGGGGUUGACAGCGUCUGGGCCCCCGGGCAGCUGCACCGGUUGCACCGUCGAUACUAACGCCACUGAUUAAUAAUAUUUUCACCAUUAAAUAAAUGCCUUCAGUAAGACCUGGGGGGGGUAUACCACGAACCUCGUUGAACAUACCCAGGCUUUCUUGGGAAAACCUGGCUCGACAGAGCCGCAACUCGCAAUCACAGUUAAAUGGUACCAUGACGCUCACUUUAGAUUCAAUUAGUUGAACCAGGUUUUCCGCUUUAGGUUCAAUGCGCGUUCACAUAAAAGGGGCGUUUCUCGCGUCAUUUGACUCACCCUUAUGCAAAAUAAAUCGCGCAAGAGCGGUGUAUUUCAUCCAAGGCGAGCAAUGUAUUAUUAUGAACUCCUACGAGGAAUUCAAAGUUCAAAUCACAGCCAAGGGGAACACGGUUACCCAUAAUAUGGCUAGGGUGGUGUGCUGGCAAAAAUAGCCGACCGUGUUAAUUCGUAAGUGAAAAGAUUCUGCAUAUUGUCUAAAAAAUAUUAUGUAUCAUCAUCCCUUUUACCCCCAUAUAUGUGGGGCCCCAUGAAUUGCGAGCCCAAGUACCGGGAAUGCACUCGAUCUCCGACCCAAUAUCGGACGUGCACGUCAAGUUGCUUGCUUUUAGUGGCGUGGUUCAACGUCUCAAAUAUCAAAACAAAAGCCUUGUAGACGCUGCAGAUUCGCUCGUUUCGGAUGAAAGUCGCUGGUCCGAAGAGGGGGGUCAAGGAUGGCAGAGUAUAUUCCAUGCCGUUCAUAUCCACUCCAGCCACAACGCACUGACAACGUGGAUUCUGUGACGCCAUCUUUAGACCCUGGGUGGUCCGUCCAUUAUUUUGGAAAGCCCUCACUCUUUCCAUCUCGGAAAACUCUGAACCCCGUUAUUAAAAAGAUAUGUAUUCGACUUCAACUUCAUAUUCAACUUUUUUACCAAGCAAACAAAUAAAAGACACAGUGCUUUCAAAGGGAAAAGCCAUCGGCGCAAACGAAAAAC